UCCAUCCUGCCCUCAGAACCGACAGACCUACGGACCGACAGCGCGACUGGCUACAGGGCCCUGCUUCCUGCGCCCUCCUUCCUGCUUCCGGCGCUGGGCCCGCCUCUGUGCUGCUUAACUUCCGCGGGCCAGAAGGACGGUGACGCGAAGAGCCGUUGAAGCACCCUUCACCCCAUUUCUUAAAUCAUCUCCCACCAGGGUAGCGUUAAAUAACUGCGGGCCUAAUCCCGCCCUCCCUAACUCCUUCAGGUCAUUGGUUCACACGCUCUCCGCCCCCGACGCGGCGGCCCCAACCGGCUCUUCCGCCUUCCGGGUUUGCUGCCUUGCACCUGCGCAGUUACAGCUCCGGGAAAAAGCUCCCGCGGCAGCCUGAGCAGUUAACUCUGGAGUAGGGAUCAAGAGCCAUUCCAAUAGAACGCCGAGAGACUCCAACGGGAGGACUGGCUUUUAAAGGGCUGGGAGGCAGUGCCCAGAGAGAAGCCUCCUCCAUCAGAUUGGGGGGGGGGGGGGAGCGCGGGGACAGCCUAAGGGCAAUCGGACUGUGUGCAGGCGCGCGUCUGGCCCGUUGCCUUGUCUCCUGAUUUCUCCCAGAGGUAGUGCUGGGGAAACUGAGGCAGCGAGGAGUCCAGCCUCCCACGCAGUCAAGAUCCCCCUGGCCAGCAUCAUGGGGGAUCUAACUGCCCGCCCUGCCCCUGCCAGGGAAUGAAGACGCAGGGAGAUGUGUCCAGGGCCUCAAGAGUGGCAAACCUCCUGGGGAACAGAAGAGGUGGCCAUGGGCAUCAUCUACAUUUUUUCACCACCUCCUGGGUGCCAGGCUCACUCAUGCUUAACUCCUCCUAGCAACUUGGCCAGAUUGGCCAAGGAAGGGAUCAGGAGCUCAGCCAGGCCGGCGGCAGCACAGUGGCCUGAAUUUCCUCUCCAGAUCUCGUGCCUCAUUAGGUCCCAGAGACAAAGAGGGCCGUGUGUACGGGAGGCACCCAGGGCAGCCCCGCCCUCCUGGGCCCCUGCCUGAAUUUGGUCACCUGGGCUGGACUUUGAAGGGCCUUUGGGCAAGUUGGACCUGAUCCUGUCUCCUUCACUCUGGCCCGAACGAAAGGGAAGACAGCUAGACCAGUCCAACAGGUCACACGACGGCCCAUCCGUGUUCAGCACAUACUCACAGGCCCUGGUUGGAUGCUAGAGGCCUAGUCUGAUGAGCAGCUACCUUGCAGGGGAGACAAGCUAUAAACAAGUCAGUGAGGUCUCCUUGCGAGAAUGAGGAAAACAACAAGCCAAGGAAUGUGGAAGGAGAGGCCUACCUUGUGAGCAUCUGAUAGGAUCCGGGAGCUGGAACCUCAAGGGCAGCUCUGCAGGGAGAACCCAGCCCGCGGCACAGGACUGACUGAGGGUUGCCUGCUGCGAGGCUGGGGAACCUCAGCACAGGGCCUAGAGCAGAG